rnacentral:miRNA from 14 species
GUACUUACAAAGCUCCGCUUGCCAGAGCAGGCAGUUGUUGACAGGGACGACGUUAGGAAGCAGUCCAUAGGCCCUUUCUUAGCACUGUUCAGGGCUUUCAGGUUGCA